UAAGAAAGGGUUAACGAGGAGGAUGCUGUGUCUAAGAACUUAUUUUAAUCUACCUUAAAGGUGAAGAGGCCUUUAUAAAAAAAAAGGACAACAAGACCCUAUGAAGCUUUAUCUUAUGAGGGAUUUGAAAGAUCCGUGUACGAUUUUGAUGGGGGAACAGUAAAAAUAAGUCUUUUACCGUUAUUUUUAUCUUACUAGUGUUUCCUAAUUGUAUAAGUGUGAAUGGCCACUCUAGGGAGAACAGCGCAAUUUCUCCCGAAAAAUGGUAUUGGAGGGGAAAAUUGCGACCUCCACGUUGGC
rnacentral:rRNA from 1 species